rnacentral:rRNA from 1 species
CGUAUAUUAAAGUUGUUGCAGUUAAAAAGCUCGUAGUUGGAUUUGUGGUGGUGCCUGCGGUCCAAAAUGUUUUGGUGCUGUCGGGCACUGUCAUCCUUGGGUGGAANCUGUGGGGCAUUAGGUUGUUUUGCAGGGGAUGCCCAUCGUUUACUGUGAAAAAAUUAGAGUGUUCAAAGCAGGCUUACGCCGUUGAAUAUAUUAGCAUGGAAUAAUAAGAUAGGACUCUGGUGCUAUUUUGUUGGUUUGCGCACCGAAGUAAUGAUUAAUAGGGACAGUUGGGGG